rnacentral:rRNA from 1 species
AUAUUUGGUGGAACCCCUGGCGGCGUGAUUAACACAUGACAACCUCGAACGAACCUUCGGGUUAGUGGCGGACGGGUGAGUAACGCGUGAGAAUCUGCCCUCAGGAGGGGGAUAACGGUUGGAAACGACCGCUAAUACCCCAUAUGCCUACUGGUGAAAUGAAUUUCGCCUGAGGAUGAGCUCGCGUCUGAUUAGUUUGUUGGUGGGGUAAUGGCCUACCAAGACUGUGAUCAAUAGCUGAUUUGAGAGGAUGAUCAGCCACAUUGGGACUGAGACACGGCCCAAACUCCUACGGGAGGCAGCAGUGGGGAAUCUUGCACAAUGGAGGAAACUCUGAUGCAGCGAUGCCGCGUGAGUGAAGAAGGCCUUUGGGUUGUAAAGCUCUUUCGUCGGGGAAGAAAAUGACUGUACCCGAAUAAGAAGGUCCGGCUAACUUCGUGCCAGCAGCCGCGGUAAUACGAAGGGACCUAGCGUAGUUCGGAAUUACUGGGCUUAAAGAGUUCGUAGGUGGUUGAAAAAGUUAGUGGUGAAAUCCCAGAGCUUAACUCUGGAACUGCCCAUUAAAACUUUUCAGCUAGAGUAUGAUAGAGGAAAGCACAAUUUCUAGUGUAGAGGUGAAAUUCGUAGAUAUUAGAAAGAAUACCAAUUGCGAAGGCAGCUUUCCUGGAUCAUU